UCCAAGGAAAUGCUAUUUCUUACAUUGAUGAGAAUGUAUGGAAAUCAUACCGUUGGACUGAGAAACUAGAUUUAUCCUGCAAUAAAAUCCAAUUUAUUGAAAGACGUACCUUUGAAUCACUACCAUUUCUGCAGUAUGUAAAUCUUGGUUGCAAUUUAAUCACUGAACUGAGCUUCGGAACGUUUCAGGCGUGGCAUGGAAUGCAAUUUUUACACAAGGUGUAAGUUAAAUAGAUGAACACAUAAAAAGCUAUGUGUAAAAGCAUCAUUCAGUUAUCAGUUAACUAGGUAUAAGCUCAUUAUGAACUCUGAAUAGCAUAUCUUAAGAUCUAUCCAAUUUUUCUUUUUUACUUUUUUUUAAAGUUAUAUUUAUAUUUCACAGAAAGGAUCCAUCCAUUUUUUUCAGGUGAGGAAACUAAGGUACAAAGAGGCCAGGAGACGUGUGUAACUUCCAUAUGACAUGCUCUGCUUUCCCUAGAAAUGAUCUUUGGAAUGGGUG